rnacentral:rRNA from 1 species
UUGAACGCUGGCGGAAUGCUUUACACAUGCAAGUCGAACGGCAGCACGGGGGCAACCCUGGUGGCGAGUGGCGAACGGGUGAGUAAUACCUAGGAACAUGUCCAGUAGUGGGGGAUAACGCAGCGAAAGCUGUGCUAAUACCGCAUACGCCCUAUGGGGGAAAGCGGGGGAUUCGCAAGAACCUCGCGUUAUUGGAGUGGCCUAGGCCUGAUUAGCUAGUUGGUGAGGUAAAGGCUCACCAAGGCGACGAUCAGUAGCUGGUCUGAGAGGAUGAUCAGCCACACUGGAACUGCGACACGGUCCAGACUCCUACGGGAGGCAGCAGUGGGGAAUUUUGGACAAUGGGGGCAACCCUGAUCCAGCCAUUCCGCGUGAGUGAAGAAGGCCUUCGGGUUGUAAACUUCUUUUGCAGGGGAAUAAAGUUCGCUACGAGUAGCGAUUUGUAAGUACCUUGCGAAUAAGGAUCGGCUAACUCCGU